ensembl:lncRNA
AUUUAUCUGAGUAAACAGAGCUUGGUGUUCACAGGUUCUGCACCGCAUUUUGAUCACACUGUGGUGACAGGGAGCACCUGUGGACGAGAGGGAGAGAUAAGAGCUUGUCAGACGCAGUGAAGCCGCAGGACUCACCCCGGCAUACCAAUGCUGCAGGACAAAUAACUUCUCAAGGUUAUUGCAGUGUGAGCUUUGGAGAGAAAAUGCAUAAGGCAGUGCAGGUGAGUUGGUUGUACUGAGUUGUGGAUUAUAAAUAUGACAGCUGUCAACAAAGACGGUGUUGACACAGGCUUUAUUUGACGAUGUAUAAAAAUUUCCUUUAAAAUUCCACUGACCACAUUUAAUUAAAAAGCAGAGGCCACAUUUUUUAGCAUUUAUAUACAUGAAGAUACACUUUACAAGAAAAUGGAGCAGUUCUCUGGUUUUUCUUAAUUAACUUUAGUGAUCAUUCUGUCAGAGCUGCCAUUCAUCUACAACUCAAUUGCCUACACUGGUUAUGUAUAUAUAGUAUAUUCCAUAUAAGAAAGCAUGUGCAGCUUCCUUG